rnacentral:rRNA from 1 species
GAUGAACGCUGACAGAAUGCUUAACACAUGCAAGUCAACUUGGUGGCGGACGGGUGAGUAACGCGUAAAGAAAUUGCCUCACAGAUAGGGACAACAUUUGGAAACGAAUGCUAAUACCUGAUACUGGGAGCGAGCUUUGCGUCCCAUUAGCUAGUUGGAGAGGUAACGGCUCACCAAGGCGAUGAUGGGUAGCCGGCCUGGGAGGGUGAUCGGCCACAAGGGGACUGAGCCACGGCCCAGACUCCUACGGGAGGCAGCCGUGGGGAAUGUUGGACGAGGGGCGCAGCCUGAUCCAGCCAUGCCGCGUGUCUGAAGAAGGCCUUCGGGUUGUAAAGGACUUUUGUUAGGGAAGCUACGACUAAAGAAUAAGCACCGGCUAACUACGUGCCAGCAGCCGCGGUAAUUC